CCUACGGGUGGCAGCAGUGGGGAAUAUUGGACAAUGGGCGAAAGCCUGAUCCAGCCAUGCCGCGUGUGUGAAGAAGGCCUUCGGGUUGUAAAGCACUUUCAGUGGGGAAGAAAGCCUUGGGGUUAAUACCCUCGAGGAAGGACAUCACCCACAGAAGAAGCACCGGCUAACUCCGUGCCAGCAGCCGCGGUAAUACGGAGGGUGCGAGCGUUAAUCGGAAUUACUGGGCGUAAAGCGCGCGUAGGCGGUCUGAUAAGCCGGUUGUGAAAGCCCCGGGCUCAACCUGGGAACGGCAUCCGGAACUGUCAGGCUAGAGUGCAGGAGAGGAAGGUAGAAUUCCCGGUGUAGCGGUGAAAUGCGUAGAGAUCGGGAGGAAUACCAGUGGCGAAGGCGGCCUUCUGGACUGACACUGACGCUGAGGUGCGAAAGCGUGGGUAGCAAACAGGAUUAGAUACCCCAGUAGUC
rnacentral:rRNA from 1 species